AUGGAGUUCCUGAUGCAACCUAUAAACAGAACACUGCUAGAGGAGGUGAACGAAAAUAACAGCAAUAUGGAGCCGAUGCGGUUCCCGGUGAGCGCGCCGACAGAGGUUGAGCUGCCAGCCCAGGCAGCUUCAAGUGCGGACGGCCAGAACUGCCCUGAAGACGCCGCUGCAGAGGCAAGAAGUGCAAGCAAGGCUCAGUGUUCAGAGCAAUUGAUAGAACAAUUGGACCCAAAAACCCCAGGCUGGACACAAAGAGUGUGUGUGGGUGCUGCUGCUCCAGGCAGGGCUCCUCGUGCAGACAGGGUGACAGCGUUCGAAAAGACCGUUCGACAAUUUGCAGAGGAUCUAGGGGACAUUGUCAUAGUUCCAAAAGAUAGGAACAAGUUUGGACAGUCUUGGUGA
rnacentral:rRNA from 1 species